rnacentral:rRNA from 1 species
UACGGAGGGUGCGAGCGUUGUUCGGAAUCACUGGGCGUAAAGCGCGUGUAGGCGGCCCACUAAGUCUGAUGUGAAAGCCCGGGGCUCACCCCCGGAAGUGCAUUGGAAACUGGUGGACUCGAGUCCCGGAGAGGAGAGUGGAAUUCCGUGGUGUGAGCGGUGAAAUGCGCAGAUAUCGGGAAGAAGCACCCGUGGGCGAAGGCGGCCUGCUACUGGGACGGUGACGUGA